rnacentral:lncRNA from 1 species
CUUGGCGUUGUCCAGCUGUUGCCUCUGCUCAUCUGAUAGAACCGUUGUUACCGCCGGUUCCUCAUACCCAUUCUCGAUCAGGCUCCAUAAACCUCUCGCACGGAAGAAGUUCUCCAUCACCUCACUCCAGUGAUCCCAGUGUCCAUCGAACUGAGGAAGCUUCAUCUUGUCGUCUCCCAUCUUUCCUCUCACUUAUGAUCGAAGCUUCGGCUUCUUUUGUUUUUCAGAAAACAGAGCUCUGAUACCAAUUUGAAAGACCAAAUGCUCUGUAAAUAUCUGAAUAAUACUCUGCUCUUAUUGAAUAAAGAUCAAUGACUAUAUGUAGCCUUACAAUUUCAACGGAAACACGUAACGUGAUGCUAAAGUUACGCUAACAACUAAGACCACAAGACUCGGUCUUUUUUUGAAACAAAAAACACAAAACAUGACUUAAUCAAAACAGACUUCUCUAACGACUCCUUUAUUCUCCGCUCUGAAUUUGCUCCAACACUUCCCCAAUAUUACACCGAUAUGGUUCUCUCUGCUAAUUAAUCGUCCACAACAAUACACCGAUAUAGUCUUCACAUUGAUGCUGUUUCUCGUUUGGUUUGUUUCGUUACCGUUGGAUAUGUAUAUGCUGACAUAAACUAUAAGGAUGGAACAAUUAAGUUUCACUAGAGUUCGCAAUUGUGCAGACGAAACUGACGAGCAAAUUGUGUAGAAGACAUAUGAUAUACAGCAUCUGCUGACUUUGGUACAUAAGCUUGUCCGAAUGGAAAGUUCAAAUGUCGGAAAGCAGGACAGUCUACUUCAGUUUUGUUUUCUUCCAUAGUGUAUAUGUGGUAUGCUACUCAUUCUCCCGAAUGAAAGUACCCAAAAAAAGUAACCCGUAAACUUUUUUUUUUGUCAAACCGG